AGGAUUUGGUUUAGAAUUUAGAAUUCAACUAGGAUUUGAUUUAGGAUUUAGGGUUUAUUUAGGCCUUAUAAUUUGUUUAAAAUUUGGUUUAGAAUUUAAGAUUUGAGAUUUAGUUAGAAUUUGACGUAAGAUUUAGUUAAGGUCUAUUCAAAUUUUAAUUAGGAUUAGAAUAGGAUUUGAUUUAGAUUUAUUUAAGAUUUAUUUAACAUUUAUUAAAAAAUUUAAAAAUACUUCUUUAGAAUUUUUUUAUAUAUUUUUUUUAUAAUUUCUUCAAGAUUUCUUUUGGAUUUGAUUAAAGCUUGAUUAAUAUUAUUAAGGUUUAAUUGGAGUUUAUUUAGAAUUCUAUUUGAAUUGUUAAGAUCUUAUUGUUACAAUUUUCCUUCUACUUUCUACAGUCAGAUGUCUAAUGCAUUCUUAAGCAAGACUUUACAUAAUACAAUAGUACAAAACAAGCAAUCUACAAACUUGGUAUUGUUAGAAAAUCUUUUCUUAAAAU
rnacentral:lncRNA from 1 species